UACAGAGGUCUCAACCGUUGUUCGGAUUCAUUGGGCGUAAAGGGUGCGUAGGCGGUCGGGUAAGUCGGAUGUGAAAUCUCAGGGCUCAACCCUGAAACUGCAUUCGAUACUGCCUGGCUAGGGUACUGGAGAGGAGACUGGAAUUUACGGUGUAGCAGUGGAAUGCGUAGAGAUCCGGAGGAACACCAGCGGCGAAGGCGGCGUCCUGGACUGGUACUGACGCUCAGGAGCGAAAGCGUGGGGAGCGAUCCGG
rnacentral:rRNA from 1 species